UUGUGGAGAAGGACGCCGAAGGUGGGGCUGAUGACUGGGGUGAAGUCGUAACAAGGUAGCCGUACCGGAAGGUGCGGCUGGAUCACCUCCUAACAGGGAGACAAUAAAUUGAUUGUGAUGUCUAAGUUAUUUAUUCUUAGGCCGCAAUCCUGUCACCUUAAGGUCGAUCGGUACCUCAGAUUUUGAAUUAGUUUUAUAAUUGAUUCUUUGAUUUCAGUUCCUAAACUUGUCUAGGUCACACCCAACAAAGGUUUCUCCUGGGCCAUUAGCUCAGGUGGUUAGAGCGCACCCCUGAUAAGGGUGAGGUCCCUGGUUCAAGUCCAGGAUGGCCCAUUCGUUGUUGGGGGUAUAGCUCAGUUGGUAGAGCGCCUGCUUUGCAAGCAGGAUGUCAGCGGUUCGAGUCCGCUUACCUCCACUGAAAACUAUCCUGAUAACUAAAUUUCUGGAGAAAAAAAUUGUAGAUGUGGCUUAGAAUUGUCUAUUUGAAAAGAACCUAGCUUCUUGUCAUCUUUUUAUAGUUGAUAAAAUGCUGGGCUCGCAUGGAUUAUUUCCAUGAGAUUUCAGUAGAACCUUGAAAACUGCAUAGAUUAGAAAGAAUAAAGCAUCUCAUGGAUGCAUAGUUCUGUUUUUAUAAUUUAGCCUUAAAACUAAAUUAUUUAAUCCUAGAAUUCAUGUUUAAUUCUUGAGUAAUAGCCGAGCACAAUUGAUUUUGUGAUUGUAUUAAAGGUCAAGCUACAAAGGGCUCAUGGCGGAUACCUU
rnacentral:misc_RNA from 1 species